rnacentral:rRNA from 1 species
AGGGCGCACGGUGGAUGCCUUGGCACUAGAAGCCGAUGAAGGACGUGACUAACGACGAAAUGCUUUGGGGAGCUGUAAGUGAGCAAUGAUCCAGAGAUGUCCGAAUGGGGGAACCCGGCAGGUAAUGCCUGUCACUCAUUACUGUUAAGGUAAUGUAGAGGAAGACGCAGUGAACUGAAACAUCUAAGUAGCUGUAGGAAGAGAAAGCAAAAGCGAUUGCCUUAGUAGCGGCGAGCGAAACGGCAAGAGGGCAAACCGAAGAGUUUACUCUUCGGGGUUGUAGGACUGCAACGUGGACUUAAAGAUUAUAGAAGAACUACCUGGGAAGGUAGGCCAAAGAGAGUAAUAGCCUCGUAUUCGAAAUAGUCUUUAUACCUAGCAGUAUCCUGAGUACGGCGAGACACGAGAAAUCUCGUCGGAAUCUGGGAGGACCAUCUCCCAACCCUAAAUACUCUCUAGUGACCGAUAGUGAACCAGUACCGUGAGGGAAAGGUGAAAAGCACCCCGGGAGGGGAGUGAAAUAGAACCUGAAACCGUGUGCCUACAACAAGUUCGAGCCCGUUAAUGGGUGAGAGCGUGCCUUUUGUAGAAUGAACCGGCGAGUUACGAUAUGAUGCGAGGUUAAGUUGAAGAGACGGAGCCGUAGGGAAACCGAGUCUUAAUAGGGCGCAUUAGUAUCAUGUCGUAGACCCGAAACCAUGUGACCUACCCAUGAGCAGGUUGAAGGUGAGGUAAAACUCACUGGAGGACCGAACCAGGGCACGUUGAAAAGUGCUUGGAUGACUUGUGGGUAGCGGAGAAAUUCCAAACGAACUUGGAGAUAGCUGGUUCUCUCCGAAAUAGCUUUAGGGCUAGCGUCGAUGUUAAGUCUCUUGGAGGUAGAGCACUGUUUGGGUGAGGGGUCCAUCCCGGAUUACCAAUCUCAGAUAAACUCCGAAUGCCAAUGAGAUAUAAUCGGCAGUCAGACUGCGAGUGCUAAGAUCCGUAGUCGAAAGGGAAACAGCCCAGACCACCAGCUAAGGUCCCAAAAUAUAUGUUAAGUGGAAAAGGAUGUGGGGUUGCACAGACAACUAGGAUGUUAGCUUAGAAGCAGCUAUUCAUUCAAAGAGUGCGUAAUAGCUCACUAGUCGAGUGACCCUGCGCCGAAAAUGUACCGGGGCUAAAACAUAUUACCGAAGCUGUGGAUACCUUUAUAGGUAUGGUAGGAGAGCGUUCUAUGUGCGAAGAAGGUGUACCGUGAGGAGUGCUGGAGCGCAUAGAAGUGAGAAUGCCGGUAUGAGUAGCGAAAGACAGGUGAGAAUCCUGUCCACCGUAAGACUAAGGUUUCCAGGGGAAGGCUCGUCCGCCCUGGGUUAGUCGGGACCUAAGGAGAGACCGAAAGGUGUAUCCGAUGGACAACAGGUUGAUAUUCCUGUACUAGAGUAUAUAGUGAUGGAGGGACGCAGUAGGCUAACUAAACCAGACGAUUGGAAGUGUCUGGCCAAGCAGUGAGGUGUGAUAUGAGUCAAAUGCUUAUAUCUUUAACAUUGAGCUGUGAUGGGGAGCGAAGUUUAGUAGCGAAGUUAGUGAUGUCACACUGCCGAGAAAAGCUUCUAGCGUUAAUUAUACUCUACCCGUACCGCAAACCGACACAGGUAGUCGAGGCGAGUAGCCUCAGGUGAGCGAGAGAACUCUCGUUAAGGAACUCGGCAAAAUGGCCCCGUAACUUCGGGAGAAGGGGCGCUGACUGAUGGUCAGCCGCAGUGAAUAGGCCCAAGCAACUGUUUAUCAAAAACACAGCUCUCUGCUAAAUCGUAAGAUGAUGUAUAGGGGGUGACGCCUGCCCGGUGCUGGAAGGUUAAGAGGAGUGCUUAGCGUAAGCGAAGGCAUGAAUUGAAGCCCCAGUAAACGGCGGCCGUAACUAUAACGGUCCUAAGGUAGCGAAAUUCCUUGUCGGGUAAGUUCCGACCCGCACGAAAGGCGUAAUGAUUUGGGCACUGUCUCAACGAGAGACUCGGUGAAAUUUUAGUACCUGUGAAGAUGCAGGUUACCCGCGACAGGACGGAAAGACCCCAUGGAGCUUUACUGCAGUUUGAUAUUGAGUAUCUGUACCACAUGUACAGGAUAGGUAGGAGCCUAUGACCUCGGGACGCCAGUUUCGAGUGAGGCGUUGUUGGGAUACUACCCUUGUGUUAUGGCUACUCUAACCCAGAUAGGUUAUCCCUAUCGGAGACAGUGUCUGACGGGCAGUUUGACUGGGGCGGUCGCCUCCUAAAAGGUAACGGAGGCGCCCAAAGGUUCCCUCAGAAUGGUUGGAAAUCAUUCGCAGAGUGUAAAGGUAUAAGGGAGCUUGACUGCGAGAGCUACAACUCGAGCAGGGACGAAAGUCGGGCUUAGUGAUCCGGUGGUUCCG